ACUUGCAGUGGUGCCGGUGAUCGAAAUAUUCCAUUCACCGGAGAAUAGUUUCCAUUUUCCAACAAUUGUUCUUCAUCGGCGACUGUUCUUGCCUGGAGAAAUUUCUUUUGUUUCCGUUUUGAAGCCCAUUUGUUGAUUGGCGAGUGUUCUUCACUGAGAUAAAGCUUCAUUGGCUGAAAGGAAUUGCCAAGUCUUGAGGUCUAGGAAGUUGGAGUAUGAGGUGCAAUAUAAUGGAAUUUGGGAGAGUGUUUAUUUACAGCAUUCUUCUUAUAGUUGUCGGGUUUGGGACAUUAGUGGUAUUUCUUGCAAGUAUGCAAUGACCAUGGUGAUCCAUAGGCGAGAAAGAAUUGAAGAUUAUUUCAAUGAAUGCUGGAAAAGGGAAAAAUAUUUGGUAGCCUAUACACCAACAGUUCACCCUAUACCGGAUUAAAAAUAUUGGCCGGAAAGUUCUUGGGAUCUCAUUGAAGCACCGCCAUUAAAGAGACAGCCAGGAAGACCAAGAGUUGCUAGAAAAAGGGCACCGGUUGAAGAGCCAUUAGCAAGGCAACCUCUAUUCCAGUGUAGGAGAGCCAAAUGUUCUAGAUGCAAAAUUUAUGUACACAAUGUUAGAGGUUGUCAAGGGCCAGCACCAAGGAAUAGAGGAAGCAGUUCUAGAAUGGCAAGUGGGAGUGGUUCAUCUGCCCAGUCACAACAACAAGCCCAUAAUUUGCAGGUGGGAAGACUAAAUAGUGGUGGGAGAGCGUCUAGCAGAGCUAUGAGGUCCCUAAGCCAACCUCAAGGUGUAGGAGAAAACAUCGUUUUAGAGGAACAUGUACAACCUCAAGCUACACUAUUGUAUUUCGGAUCUGUGGAGAUCCAGAAUCAUCAAGUUGAAAUACUUUUUAGUUUACAGGGACAGGAGCAGCCGAGCAGUCAAGAGCUACACUUUUCCCAACCAUGAAUUGGGAUUUUACAAUAUUUUCAAGUAUAUAAGUUUCUACAGGAAAUCAUCUUGAUUACUGUUUUUUUUAGCCUACUUUUUUUGUUUGGACUGAGAAAGAAACAAAACAUUGAAAGCAGGUGAUGGAGAUAUCCAUUUGAGUUUAUAAUAUGAUUUUUUAUGUGAUAAAAAAAGUGAAAAAAGAAAAAUUCUUUGGAUGUAUUAGUUGGUUGUUAGUGGGUUGCUUGCUGGCCAUGGCCUUAGUUUGUAUUUGUAUUUGGUACUUCUUAUGUCUUUAGUGCAACCAAAUAUGCACUAAUUUGAAUGCAUGUAAGUGCAAAUAAUUAUGGAUGAAUUGGACUUGAUCCAAGCAAGAAGGGCAAUAGGCUUUAUAAAGCCCUUGCUUGAAAAGCACUCAUUUUUAUGUUGCACAGUUAUAUCCCCAACUCGCAAUGUUAUUUUAAUGAA